rnacentral:sRNA from 1 species
AUUCUGCCCAAGCGGGGAAGGAUGAGAAGCUUCGACUAAGGCUCGACUCGAGCGCCAGCGAGAGAAGCGUUGCCGCAGGCAACGACCCGUAGAGCGAAGCGCGCAGCGUUGAGUAAUCCUUCCCCACCACCA